AGUGAACGCUGGCGGUAGGCCUAACACAUGCAAGUCGAACGGCAGCACAGUAAGAGCUUGCUCUUACGGGUGGCGAGUGGCGGACGGGUGAGGAAUACAUCGGAAUCUACUUUUUCGUGGGGGAUAACGUAGGGAAACUUACGCUAAUACCGCAUACGACCUACGGGUGAAAGCAGGGGAUCUUCGGACCUUGCGCGAUUGAAUGAGCCGAUGUCGGAUUAGCUAGUUGGCGGGGUAAAGGCCCACCAAGGCGACGAUCCGUAGCUGGUCUGAGAGGAUGAUCAGCCACACUGGAACUGAGACACGGUCCAGACUCCUACGGGAGGCAGCAGUGGGGAAUAUUGGACAAUGGGCGCAAGCCUGAUCCAGCCAUACUGCGUGGGUGAAGAAGGCCUUCGGGUUGUAAAGCCCUUUUGUUGGGAAAGAAAAGCAGCAGGUUAAUACCCCGCUGUUCUGACGGUACCCAAAGAAUAAGCACCAGCUAACUUCGUG
rnacentral:rRNA from 1 species